GACGAACGCUGGCGGCGUUGCUUAACACAUGCAAGUUGGACGGCUGUGGAUGAAGCUUGCUGAAGUGCACAGCAGUAGCGGACGGGUGAGUAAUGCAUGAGUACCUGCCCUGGGAGGGGGACAACAGCUGGAAACGGCUGCUAAUACCCCGUAAGCCGGGAGGUGAAAGGGAGCGAUCCCGCCCUGGGAUGGGCUCAUGUCCUAUCAGCUGGUUGGUGAGGUAACGGCUCACCAAGGCGACGACGGGUAGCCGGACUGAGAGGUCGACCGGCCACACUGGAACUGAGAUACGGUCCAGACUCCUACGGGAGGCAGCAGUGGGGAAUAUUGGGCAAUGGGGGCAACCCUGACCCAGCGACGCCGCGUGAGGGAAGAAGGCCUUCGGGUUGUAAACCUCUUUUGUAUGGGAAGAAGGACGUGACGGUACCGUACGAAUAAGUCCCGGCUAACUACGUG
rnacentral:rRNA from 1 species